ACUAUACAACAUUGAAAUACCAGUUCUCAUAUGAUCACUGAAGUUAAGCAACAUCAAACCUGGUCAAGUAUCUAGAUGGGUGACUGCUUGGGAAUUCCAUGUGCUACAGG